GGUGUGCAAGAGGACACUUGUGCAAGGACGUUUGGGGGUGUGCAAGGCGAGUCACUUUUUCAAGGGGUGUGUAAAGGCAGAGGUGUGCAAGAAGACACUUGUGCAAGGACGUUUGGGGGUGUGCAAGGCAAGUCACUUUUACAAGGGGUGUGUAAAGGCAGAGGUGUGCAAGGUGGCUUGUGCGUGUGCAAGGCCGAGUGUGCAAGGGGUUUUGCACGAGGAGGGGCUCACGGUUUGGCGCUGAGAGGUAUCGGUGGCGUGGGAGGGUCUGAUUUUGGGGCAGUUUCGGGGUGGUUUGGUGCAAAGGCUUUGGGGGUGUGCAAGAGGACACUUGUGCAAGGACGUUUGGGGGUGUGCAAGGCGAGUCACUUUUUCAAGGGGUGUGUAAAGGCAGAGGUGUGCAAGAAGACACUUGUGCAAGGACGUUUGGGGGUGUG
rnacentral:lncRNA from 1 species